GCGGGUGUGGUUCAAUGGUAGAAUGUCUCCCUUCCAAGGAGAAGACGAGGGUUCGAUUCCCUUCACCCGCUCCA
rnacentral:tRNA from 1 species